CCUACGGGAGACUGCAGUAGGGAAUCUUCCACAAUGGACGAAAGUCUGAUGGAGCAACGCCGCGUGAGUGAAGAAGGGUCUCGGCUCGUAAAGCUUCGUUGGUAGUGAAGAAAGAUAGAGGUAGUAACUGGUCUUUAUUUGACGGUAUUUACUUAGAAAGUCACGGUCAAUUACGUCCCAGCAGCCGCGGUAAUACGUAGGUGGCAAGCGUUGUCUGGAUUUAUUGGGCGUAAAGCGAGUGCAGGCGGUUCAAUAAGUCUGAUGUGAAAGCCUUCGGCUCAACCGGAGAAUUGCAUCAGAAACUGGUGGACUUGAGUGCAGAAGAGGAGAGUGGAACUCCAUGUGUAGCGGUGGAAUGCGUAGAUAUAUGGAAGAACACCAGUGGCGAAGGCAGCUCUCUGGUCUGCAACUGACGCUGAGGCUCGAAAGCAUGGGUAGCGAACAGGAUUAGAUACCCGAGUAGUC
rnacentral:rRNA from 1 species